AACGAACGCUGGCGGCAUGCCUAACACAUGCAAGUCGAACGAGACCUUCGGGUCUAGUGGCGCACGGGUGCGUAACGCGUGGGAACCUGCCCUUAGGUUCGGAAUAACUCCCCGACAGGGGUGCUAAUACCGGAUAAUUUCUUCGGACCAAAGAUUUAUCGCCUUUGGAUGGGCCCGCGUUGGAUUAGCUAGUUGGUAGGGUAAAAGCCUACCAAGGCGACGAUCCAUAGCUGGUCUGAGAGGAUGAUCAGCCACACUGGGACUGAGACACGGCCCAGACUCCUACGGGAGGCAGCAGUGGGGAAUAUUGGACAAUGGGCGAAAGCCUGAUCCAGCAAUGCCGCGUGAGUGAUGAAGGCCUUAGGGUUGUAAAGCUCUUUUACCCGGGAUGAUAAUGACAGUACCGGGAGAAUAAGCUCCGGCUAACUCCGUG
rnacentral:rRNA from 1 species